CAAGCAGACCGAUCCCGAUUCUCUCUCACUCAAGCUCGCUCAUCUUCUUCAGUUCUCUCCUCAACCCGAGGCCCGUGCCAUGUCUGCUGUUCUCCUCCGGAAGCAGCUAACUCGCGAUGAUUCAUAUCUAUGGCCUCGCCUCAAUCCCUCCUCUCAGUCCUCCCUUAAAUCCAUACUUUUGUCCUGUAUUCAACGCGAGGAAUCCAAAUCCAUAUCCAAGAAAUUGUGUGAUACGGUUUCCGAGCUGGCUUCUGGAAUCUUGCCGGAUAACGGCUGGCCAGAAUUGUUGCCUUUCAUGUUUCAGUGUGUAUCGUCGGAUUCUCCCAAGCUGCAAGAAUCGGCUUUCUUGAUCUUUG
rnacentral:misc_RNA from 1 species